rnacentral:rRNA from 1 species
UACGUAGGGGGCUAGCGUUGUCCGGAUUUAUUGGGCGUAAAGAGCGUGUAGGCGGCCAUGUAGGUCCGGUGUGAAAACUCGAGGCUUAACCUCGAGAUGUCAUCGGAAACCAUUUGGCUAGAGUCCGGAAGAGGAGAGUGGAAUUCCCUGGUGUAGCGGUGAAAUGCGCAGAUAUCAGGAGGAACACCGGUGGCGAAGGCGGGUCUCUGGGCCGAUACUGACGUGAGGAGCGAAAGCGUGGGGAGCGAACAGG